rnacentral:rRNA from 1 species
UACAGAGGGUGCUAGCGUUGUUCGGAAUCAUUGGGCGUAAAGGGCGUGUAGGCGGUUUGUUAAGUCAUGUGUGAAAUCCCUCGGCUCAACCGGGGAACGACGCAUGAAACUGGCAAGCUAGAGUACCAAAGAGGGGGGUGGAAUUCCCGGUGUAGCGGUGAAAUGCGCAGAUAUCGGGAGGAACACCAAUUGCGAAGGCAGCUCGCUGGGACGUUACUGACGCUGAGACGCGAAAGCGUGGGGAGCAAACAGG